ensembl:snoRNA SNORD15 Small nucleolar RNA SNORD15
CUUCUGUGAUGAUACGAUGACGAGUCGGAUCGAGGUCCGUCUCUGAGGAUUCUGGGUCAGGCUCACGUUCUGUGUGUCAGACUUCAGUUCCUCAGAGAUAACGUGUCCUCUCAAAUUGAAGAUGUAGAGGCAUUUGUCUGAGAAGG